AAACUUUCGCCUCAGCUUCUACAAAGUCCCUCCUUCUCCACGUCAAGCCAAUGACACCGCUGCCCCCAACUUUCCGCCAGCAGGAGCUAUAAGAGCGUCCCAGGCUGCAACUUUUGCCCAACUCCCAGCCAGCUCCGAGGAGCCCUCGGGAGGGGAGCUGACAGCGCCAGAGAUUUUCCUUCGUCCGCUGCCUUUCUUUUCGGAUCUCCAUGGCCUCCAGCCUCCCAUCCAACUGAACGUUGCUGCCGACUUCAUCUGGACUCUCGCAAGCCAAGGAUCUAGCCGCGGGGACUGGCUGGCUAAGCAUCGCCCGCCCGCCCCCCUCGCCCUUUCUAAAGGGCUGCUCGGUGUGCCGCAGGUUGGCCCUAGAGAUGAUGCAGCAGCAGCAGGACGAGUCCAACUCUCCAGUCUCGCCCGCCGACGAAAGCUUGAGCAACAGUGAAGAGGAGCCCGAUCGCCAGCAGCAGCAGCAACAGCAGCAGCAGCAGCUUCAAGGCGCCGGCAAACGAGGGGGACGGAAGAGGCGCUCGAGCCGUAGGGCGGCUGCAGGAGGCGGCGGAGGAGGCCCCGGAGGCGGAGGCGGAGUGACCGGCGGGGGACUCGGCUCGGCAGAGGAGCCGUGUAGCCCGGCGCAAGGCAAAAGAGGCAAGAAGUCCGGCGGCGGCGGCGGCGGCGGAGGGGGCAGCAGCAGCGGCGGGGGCAGCCCUCAGUCUUACGAGGAGCUUCAAACGCAGCGGGUGAUGGCCAACGUCCGCGAGCGCCAGCGCACGCAGUCGCUGAACGAAGCCUUCGCGGCUCUACGCAAGAUCAUCCCGACGCUGCCGUCGGACAAGCUGAGCAAGAUCCAGACCCUCAAGCUGGCCGCCCGCUACAUCGACUUCCUCUACCAGGUUCUGCAGAGUGACGAGCUCGACUCCAAGAUGGCCAGCUGCAGCUAUGUGGCCCACGAGCGUCUCAGCUACGCCUUCUCCGUUUGGCGCAUGGAAGGCGCCUGGUCCAUGUCCGCCUCCCACUAGCGUCCUGUGCAGCCUGGCGUGCCCGGAGACUUUAGCCACCUACUCUGAGCUUCAUUUAGCUGAUUCCAGGAAAAUACACACAGGAUUGCUGAAUGAGACUCCGUGGGACAUUUCUCAGUAGCCACAGAAGCACUCUCCUUGAGGCUUACAGGAAAUAUCAGCAUGGGACAUUGACUGUUAACUCAGAAGAUGAUGCCAGAUGUUAAUUUUACAAGGAGAGCUGCCAGCAUUCAUGUCUACUGGAAAUCAUAGCAUCUGAAGAGAAAGCCCUUGUUCCCUUGUUCUUCAGAAAUGGUCUAAGCAUAAUCAGCGAUGAAGAAAAUACACUCUGGUUACACUCAGAGGAACUAUUUUCACAUAAUCCUGGCAACUGGUCAGGAACUAGAGUAAUUCUGGAAAACUCCCAUUUCAGAAAAAAUCCAGGACAAUGCUCAUACCGCUUAGCAGUCCAAUUUCUCAAUAGGGAAAAAUACUUGUAUAUUUGCAAAUACUGUUGUGUUACUAAUGCUUACAGCCAACAAAAUAUCAUUACACUUUUGUCAACCUAAUUAUACACAGUUAUCCAACUGACUUUGUUGUAGGGAAUGCCAAUGUUUUAGCCAACAGCACUAUGGCAGCUGAAUUAUGGAAAAACCUAGGACAAAUUUGGAUCUUGCAUAUUCCAAGAAUUUUCAAGAGAAAUUAAUUUCCUAAAGGAAAUCCCCUGCAGUGAUCAAACAUCAGAACAAUGAAAAUAAAAUUCUAGAAAUAAUUAAGGAAAAAAGAAAAGUCAAAGCAAAAUCAAUUAUUGAGGCACUAGCUUUAGAGACGAGGCCCUGUUCUCUUCUAUCACAGAAUAAUAAACUUUCCAAAACCUACUCCAGUUAGGUUUAGAAAAGGUAUGGAAAUCAGAAAGAGCAUUCCUUUAGUUUUCACCUUCUGAAUCACAUAAAACCUCAAGAAUCCAGCUACAGAUCUUGGGACAGGCUUUCCAAAAGUUACCAUGGACUAUUGUGCCAGUUGUGACCAUGGUUUCUCAAGCCAUUUCCAUUUUGGGCAGAAUGUGCUAUAAAGGAGGCAUUUUUUUCUGUGGUAUGAAAGAUUUAUACUUGUGUGGCAUUUUCUGUUAACUGCAACCAUUCAGGGGAAAUUUUGGAAUGGAAAGUCUUUUUUUUAAAUGGAAAAUCAAGAUUUCAGUUGAGCCUUAAAUAGACAAUUUGUUAGAACCAACAAUUUGGUGGGCGCCAACAUUUGUCAACUCAGUUCCAACUGUUUCUUCACAAAAUGGAGUUCCAUUUACUUGACUGAGCUAUUCUAAAAUAUUUGCACAGAAGCAAAGUCUUCCUACAAAAUAUAUCAGGAAUUACUCAGGAUAACUCGGUUGUGAAGCUGAUGAGAACUCUGGAGGAAGUAGAUUAUCUAAAUCCACUUCAGUGCCAGUUUGAUGCUUUCUCUCUUCCUGUUCAACAAUUGCAUGAAACUGCUGGGUGAGGUCAGCGUACUAGUUUGGAGUUCAGUACGUAUGCUGAUGAAAGCUAAUUAUAUCUUUUAUAAGAUAUAUCCCUGCUGCCCAGCAUUAUCCCUACUUGAACUGGUUUAUUUCAUUGCACGGUUAGCAGUGAACUCUUAGGGCUGAAAUUGAGUCUUUGGGAACUUUAACGUGUCACCAGGUGAUGUUGAGUAAGUGAGAUCAGGAAUUCAUGGAUUCUGGAUGGAUGGAUCUGUCCCAAAUGAUAAAAGGUCCCAUUUAUUCAGGAAGUCACAGACUAGAACUGAUUCUUAUCUUGGGGCAGUUGCAACAUGAUCUGCUUUUUGAAAACAUUACCAUCAAUCCAUUGCUAUGGAUAGCUCCAGCGGUGAAAUCCGGCUGGAUCUAUCCGGCUCACAUGAAACGGUAGCACCGGUGGCGGGAGGCUCCACCCACCCACCGGAACAUCAUUACGUCCCAUUUUUGACCCUCUCACAUGCACAGAAGGCUCUGCACAUGCACAGAAGAGGCGCACACACUCACAUUCGCGAACCGGUAGCAAAGGAUGUUCCACUCUUUAUUACGGUGGCUUGUACCUCAUCUCCAGGGCUCAAAUGAGAAAUAAUCAUGUGGCAGAUAAAGUUACUCAGAUUUUCUUGGAAUUGGACCAUGAUUGG